UACGGAGGGGGCUAGCGUUGUUCGGAAUUACUGGGCGUAAAGCGCACGUAGGCGGCUUUGUAAGUUAGAGGUGAAAGCCCAGGGCUUAACCCUGGAAUUGCCUUUAAGACUGCAUCGCUAGAAUCGUGGAGAGGUAAGUGGAAUUCCGAGUGUAGAGGUGAAAUUCGUAGAUAUUCGGAAGAACACCAGUGGCGAAGGCGACUUACUGGACACGUAUUGACGCUGAGGAGCGAAAGCGUGGGGAGCGAACAGG
rnacentral:rRNA from 1 species